rnacentral:rRNA from 1 species
AGUGAACGCUGGCGGCAGGCCUAACACAUGCAAGUCGAACGGCAGCACAGAGGAGCUUGCUCCUUGGGUGGCGAGUGGCGGACGGGUGAGGAAUACGUCGGAAUCUGCCUAUUUGUGGGGGAUAACGUAGGGAAACUUACGCUAAUACCGCAUACGACCUUAGGGUGAAAGCGGAGGACCUUUGGGCUUCGCGCAGAUAGAUGAGCCGACGUCGGAUUAGCUUGUUGGUGAGGUAACGGCUCACCAAGGCGACGAUCCGUAGCUGGUCUGAGAGGAUGAUCAGCCACACUGGAACUGAGACACGGUCCAGACUCCUACGGGAGGCAGCAGUGGGGAAUAUUGGACAAUGGGCGAAAGCCUGAUCCAGCCAUGCCGCGUGAGUGAAGAAGGCCCUCGGGUUGUAAAGCUCUUUUGUCCGGAAAGAAAAGCUUUCGGUUAAUACCCGGAAGUCAUGACGGUACCGGAAGAAUAAGCACCGGCUAACUUCGUGCCAGCAGCCGCGUAAAC